UACAGAGGGUGCGAGCGUUGUUCGGAAUUACUGGGCGUAAAGCGCGCGUAGGUGGUCCUUUAAGUCUGUCUGUGAAAUUCCGGGGCUCAACCCCGGGGCCGCAGGGGAUACUGGAGGACUGGAGACACGUAGAGGCCGGUGGAAUUUCGGGUGUAGCGGUGGAAUGCGUAGAGAUCCGAAAGAGCACCUGUGGCGAAGGCGGCCGGCUGGGCGUGAUCUGACACUGAGGCGCGAAAGCGUGGGGAGCGAACAGG
rnacentral:misc_RNA from 1 species